AACGAACGCUGGCGGCGUGCCUAACACAUGCAAGUCGUGCGAGAAAGCCUCCUUCGGGGGGUUAGUAAAGCGGCGCACGGGUGAGUAACACGUGGGCAACCUGCCCUUGAGACUGGGACAACCCAGGGAAACCCGGGCUAAUACCAGAUACGGCCUUGGGAUCUUCGGAUCCCUUGGAGAAAUGAUGGCCUCUGCUUGCAAGCCAUCGCUCGAGGAUGGGCCCGCGGCCCAUUAGCAGUUGGUGAGGUAACGGCUCACCAAGGCAAUGAUGGGUAGCUGGUCUGAGAGGAUGAUCAGCCACACUGGGACUGAGACACGGCCCAGACUCCUACGGGAGGCAGCAGUGGG
rnacentral:rRNA from 1 species